CCAGGCUGAACAGGGCGCGGUUGCCGCACGCCGAGUCCUCGUAGGUGAGCUGGAAGGCGUAGCCGGGCGGCAGACCCGCGCCGCUCUCCCGCAGGCUCCGCACCGCGUACUCGAUGGCCGGCCGCACCCGCCCCAGCGAGAAGAGGCUGUGAAUGGGAAACCUGCACUCCUGUGGUGACCAUCUGCUCACCUUUAAGAUGCCUCAAUUAAAAAAAAAGAAAGCUCAAAGCACUUGUGCAAUUACAACCAAGAAGUGGAAUGAAAACAGCAGAUAACAUGAUGUACAGAAAUAAUCAUCAACAUUUAUCUAACAAGGUUCGGAAAAAUAAAGAAGCUCAGAAAUUUAAAGAUGGGUAGUGUCUCAGAAAUAUGCCUCUCAUAGUUUUAUUUGAUUACUGAAUCAAACUUCAGAGUGUUCUUGAAGAUUACAUAAACAGCCACCCUGGU